CGCGGAGUAGGGUAACUGCUCUUCCGCUAAGCUGUUUACCAUGGCGGAGGCAGAUCAAUACCUUUGGACCAAGUCUCUCCAACCUACAUAAAUUGUCCUACGACGACGUCCUAAGGAUAGUAAAUCAGCACUUACGUGUCGAAACAUCUAAACUACGCAAAGGAUAUAAGUUAUUCUGGGAGAAGUACAUUUUUAAUUACAUAGAUUGUCAUGUUUUGUUUUAUAUCUGCUCUUCCAGACACAUGACAACCACUUCACAGGGGAGAAAAGCGUGCCAACACCUCUGUCGUGCACCAGUGUUCUGCAGACGUGGACCAAGGACACAGGAUUCGCUCCAGGGGAUUCGCCCGGAACCCAUUGACCAACUUGUGGUCAGGAAACCCAAGGUUUGGGUUAGGUGUUUUAUUUGAG
ensembl:lncRNA